CAAACACACAUUUGUCAUAGUGACCUGCAAGCAGCAAAAAGAACUGAUCUUCAUGAAGGCUGAUAGUAACAUGGUACUGCCGGAGCAGAUCCAUCACCACAGCUUUCAUGUGGCCUCGGAUGCCACUUCGCACCUAAAUCUAAUUCAUUAACUCAAAAAGAGUGGGAAUCUAUCAACAUCUCCUACUGAUUACCAAGCUUGAGUCUGUUCCAGCCUAACCUUCUCCUAAACUCUCAACCAUGACCCAACAGUCUAUUCAGCACCCUGACC